CCUACGGGAGGCAGCAGUGGGGAAUAUUGGGCAAUGGAGGCAACUCUGACCCAGCAACGCCGCGUGAAUGAUGAAGGUCUUCGGAUUGUAAAGUUCUUUUCUAAGGGAAGAAGAAAGUGACGGUACCUUAGGAAUAAGCCUCGGCUAACUACGUGCCAGCAGCCGCGGUAAUACGUAGGAGGCAAGCGUUAUACGGAAUGACUGGGCGUAAAGGGUGCGUAGGUGGGGUGCCAAGUUAGUAGCGCAACUCCGGAGCUCAACGUCGGAACUACUACUAAAACUGUUGGACUUGAGUGCAGGAGUGCCAAUCUGCCUUCCUAGUGUAGCGGUGUAAUGCGUCGAUAUUAGGAGGCACCCCAGUGGCGACGGCGGCUUGCUAGACUGUACCUGACACUGCGGCACGACCGCGUGUGGAGCACACAGGAUUAGCUACCCCAGUAGUC
rnacentral:rRNA from 1 species